AUUGAACGCUGGCGGCAUGCCUUACACAUGCAAGUCGAACGGUAACAGCACUUCGGUGGCUGACGAGUGGCGAACGGGUGAGUAAUACAUCGGAACGUGCCCGAGAGUGGGGGAUAACGCAGCGAAAGCUGUGCUAAUACCGCAUACGAUCUACGGAUGAAAGCAGGGGAUUCGCAAGGACCUUGCGCUCAUGGAGCGGCCGAUGGCAGAUUAGGUAGUUGGUGGGAUAAAAGCUUACCAAGCCGACGAUCUGUAGCUGGUCUGAGAGGACGACCAGCCACACUGGGACUGAGACACGGCCCAGACCCCUACGGGAGGCAGCAGUGGGGAAUUUUGGACAAUGGGCGAAAGCCUGAUCCAGCCAUGCCGCGUGCAGGAUGAAGGCCUCGGUU
rnacentral:rRNA from 1 species